GACGAACGCUGGCGGCGUGCCUAACACAUGCAAGUCGAACGCAGUGGGGACGGGUGAGGAACACGUGGGUAACCUCCCAUCAGAGGGGAUAACACUUGGAAACAGGUGCUAAACUGAUACUGAUGGAUGGACCCGCGGUGCAUUAGCUAGUUGGGGAGGUAACGGCUUAACAAGGCCACGAUGCAUCGCCGACCUGAGAGGGUGAUCGGCCACACUGGGACUGAGACACGGCCCAGACUCCUACGGGAGGCAGCAGUGGGGAAGCUUCGGCAAUGGGCGAAAGCCUGACCGAGCAACGCCGCGUGAGUGAAGAAGGUUUUCGGAUCGUAAAACUCUGUUGUUAGAGAAGCGGUAUCUAACCAGAAAGCCACGGCUAACUACGUGCCAGCAGCCGCGGUAAUAC
rnacentral:rRNA from 1 species